CCUGGCGCCCAGCGCUGGUUUUGUAAUACAUUCAGGUGUUACUCGUUUUAUGAUUGGCAGGCUUUUCAGGAACGCGGACUUUGUACGUGGAGCCCUCGGUUUUUAUGAGUCGUCCCUUUAAAAGUGGAGGUGCUGCCUUUCAGAGGGAAAGCUGCCUCACCAUGCAGUCUUCAAAGACUCAGCAGUGUGCAUGAAAUAAAAAAUGAUAGGAGUAACAAGAAUGUGCAGAAGUGGAAGGAGUGGCUUCUUGGGUCUUCGCUGGAGCCUGCUUCCCUACACGGCAGCCCCUCUCGACUCUGAGCGUCCGGAUCGCCCAGUCGCUCGAUGGGGCGUGCCGGCGGCCUGCGUCCGUGUGUCACCUGCCCGCCUCUCAGCAGCAAGGAACGGAGCUUCAGCACCUCUUCAGUAAUGAUGAUGAAACUGGUAUUAACUGAAUGGCAUUUAUGGAUUUUUAACUCUAAUUCACAGUAAGCCAGAAAGCCAUAUGUUCAAUCCAACCAAAAAUCAUUCUGUUUUGCUGCGUGUCUCAUCCGAUUGUGAGAAGUUUCAAGAUACCUGUUUGUACAAAGAGGAAUAUAAGUGUUACUUGCCGGAGGAGCACAGCUGAAGCAGAAAGCGAAGACGUCUUAAUUUAUCCUUAAAGAUAUAUGAUAGAAUUAUUUAUUUAGAUAGAGUAAAGAGAUAUAUAUAUUUUUUUGGUGGUGAUGAAAAUGGCUCCAUGAAAUGCCGAUGCAGAAUCUAUGCAAGUUCAGGAGCUCCGGUGCCCUGCCAGACCUCCA
rnacentral:lncRNA from 1 species